rnacentral:rRNA from 1 species
AUCAUGGCUCAGAACGAACGCUGGCGGCAUGCCUAACACAUGCAAGUCGAACGAACCCUUCGGGGUUAGUGGCGCACGGGUGCGUAACACGUGGGAAUCUGCCCUUUGCUUCGGAAUAACAGUUAGAAAUGACUGCUAAUACCGGAUGAUGUCGUAAGACCAAAGAUUUAUCGGCAAAGGAUGAGCCCGCGUAGGAUUAGGUAGUUGGUGGGGUAAAGGCCUACCAAGCCGACGAUCCUUAGCUGGUCUGAGAGGAUGAUCAGCCACACUGGGACUGAGACACGGCCAAGACUCCUACGGGAGGCAGCAGUGGGGAAUAUUGGACAAUGGGCGAAAGCCUGAUCCAGCAAUGCCGCGUGAGUGAUGAAGGCCUUCGGGUUGUAAAGCUCUUUUACCAGGGAUGAUAAUGACAGUACCUGGAGAAUAAGCUCCGGCUAACUCCGUG